AUUGAACGCUGGCGGCAGGCCUAACACAUGCAAGUCGCGCGGGGUUUUCGGACCUAGCGGCGGACGGGUGAGUAAUGCGUAGGAAGCUGCCCGAUAGAGGGGGAUACCAGUUGGAAACGACUGUUAAUACCGCAUAAUGUCUACGGACCAAAGUGUGGGACCUUCGGGCCACAUGCUAUCGGAUGCGCCUACGUGGGAUUAGCUAGUUGGUGAGGUAAUGGCUCACCAAGGCGACGAUCUCUAGCUGGUUUGAGAGGAUGAUCACACACACUGGAACUGAGACACGGUCCAGACUCCUACGGGAGGCAGCAGUGGGGAAUAUUGGACAAUGGGCGCAAGCCUGAUCCAGCCAUGCCGCGUGUGUGAAGAAGGCCUUCGGGUUGUAAAGCACUUUCAGCGAGGAGGAAGGGGUGUGUGUUAAUAGUACACACCUUUGACGUUACUCGCAGAAGAAGCACCGGCUAACUCUGUGCCAGCAGCCGCGGUAAUAC
rnacentral:rRNA from 1 species